GUGGCUUCUCGGUACGUUUCUAUUGCUGCUUCCGUGCAGCUCAAUGCGGAAGACAAACAGGGAUCAACUCAUUCCUAAUAAACUCCGAAACCGGACCGAAAGAAAGUUCCCAAGGAGUUGCGAUUGAGACCUGAAGUAUUUCACUUGUCAGGUCAAAAAUCAUAACAUGUGGCCAAAUCAAGGUCCUCCCCCUCCAGUGGGCCCACCAAACCCUGCCUAUCCUCCUGGCCACAACCCUGCAUAUCCUGUUGCACCUACAUCAGGAUUCUUCCCACCACCUGGGCAAUAUCCAGCUGGGCAAUAUCCAGCCGGGCAAUAUCCAGCCGGGCAAUAUCCAGCCGGGCAAUAUCCAGCCAUGGUACCACAAGUACCCCCAGGGGGCAUGCCUUAUAGUGCUCAGGGACCCAAUCCUUAUCCUAUGGCUCCGGGUGGAUAUCCACUUGUUCCUCCUGCAGGGGCUCACCCAGGUCCUUACCCGCACUCUCCAAAAGGAGGUCACCAUAAAGGCCAUAAAGGCCACAAAGAUCAUCAUCAUGGAGGGUUAAAUCCCAUGGCCGGAGCAUGCGCCGGAGGAGUGGCUGGAAUGGGAAUGGGAAUGGGGUUGGCCGGACAUAAAGGCCACAAAAAGAUGAAAAAGGUGAAGAAGAUGAAGAAGGCGCAUAAGGGGCAGAAACACGGCAAGGUGAGAGGAAGUUGAAAGAUACGGCACAUUGUUUUUAAUGGCUCUUCUUGUAGGUUAAGUAUUCAUGCCGAUAAUGGAUAACCGGAAGAAACUUUAACCUGCCUCGCCCCCGCAAAACCCAGGCCACCAACUCCAUGUCAGGCAGUGUUGCAAACAUCAGAAAAGCAAAAAUGCGCCCAUAACUCGAGAGACAUGGUUUACAUUUUACCUGAAAAGAAGUAGAGAUAUAUUAUCAUUAAGAUUGUCACGACACAUCAGAACAGACAAUAACCAGUUCUAAAUCCUAUUAUGAAAAUUAUUGCUCACACAAAACUCUCAAUAAUCAUAGAAUAGAGGUGAUAUGUUCUCUGCAACAUUUGUGGCAAACAUAUAGCGUGCUUCAACUACAAAUUAAUUUUAUUAUUGACAAAUCAAAUUUCUAAAUACUUAUUAUUAAAUUGUUUGGCUUAUAAAAUAUUUUUAAAUACUACAAAACUCUCAUCACAAGGGUGACAUCAUCAAAAUGUUUCUUAAACAAUAGCUGUUUUGUUAACUUUAUUGAAAUAUGAAUAUGCAUAAUAUCUAAUCUUUCUCUUUUUCUUUGCAGUCGUCCAGCAGCAGUAGCAGCAGCAGCAGCAGCAGUGACUAAGACCGAGGCCACAAGGCUUUUUCAGAAGCAAGAGUGCAACCUUUAUAUUAAAAAUAACCACACUAAAGUCAUACUUGUCACUUUAAACAUGAAGUGUACAAUUAAAGCAUUUAAAUAAAAUAAAGAUAGAAAUAAAGUGUUUUAGCAUUUCUCAUUAGAAAUGCAUGCAUGAGCUGUUAACGAUCUCACAGUAUUUGCUGUGUUUACACUCCACCGUGGUGUUUGUGGUGUUUUCAAGUUCCAUUACGAGUACAUUAGUACACAAACAUAUUGACAUUAGUUUGACAUGGGCUGCAGAAUUGAUUUAUGAGAAUAUCUAACAAUGUGAUUUAUUCAAAGAAAAUGUUUUUUUUAUUUUUUAUGAUUGACCUUGAGAUGGAGAUUCAUACGGAUAUUGAGUGUCUUUAUUUUUGUUCACUGCUACACAGCUCAUCACUGCUCACAUCAGUACUACACAUAACUGCAGAAUGCAUUAUUCUACAAGGCUUUGUUUCAGCAUUAAUUGUUAAUAUAAAUAAAGAGUCUUCAAUUAAA
ensembl:lncRNA